rfam:Gossypium raimondii chromosome 10, whole genome shotgun sequence.
AUUCCAUGAUGAGGGAAUUUUUGCAAUAAUUCUUUGAAUCUCUCUCUUGCCUCAUACAAAGAUUCAUCAUCCAUUUACUAAAAAGUCGUGAUCUAAUUCUGCAACU